GGAGAGAUGGUUGAGUUGGUCGAAGGCGCUCGCCUGGAAAGCGGGUAUACGGGUAACACCGUAUCGUGGGUUCGAAUCCCACUCUCUCCGCCA
rnacentral:tRNA from 1 species